ensembl:piRNA 21ur-4572 ncRNA
UGACUGUAUUUUGGUUUUUGG